AAUAAAAAUAACCCUGUCCUCCAUUGAUAGAACAAGUUUUGACAUAUAGAUAAUAAAUUACUUCAUCCAGCCUUCCUCUUCUAUUCAUGUGGAUUUGGAUUAAAAGAGAGAAAGUAAAAAUAAAAGAAGAAUAAUAGAACAAAGAGAUGUUAAUUACUACAUGAGAAGCAAUGCUCUUCUCUUAGUGAUUUUGACCUAACCUAUCUAAAAUCAUUUAAUACAAGUUAAAGAAGUGAUAUAAGAUUGAAUAGUGAGAGCAAAAGAUAAAAAUUACUCAUUCAAUGCCUUUCAUACUAUGUCUUGGACCUAGCACAUGGAAGAAUACUCAUAUCAUAUAUAUCUUUAAUAAAUUUUUAAAUACCAUAUAAUUCAUAUUAUCAUACUUAACUUCAUAAUAUUAACAACUUUAUUUAGAAAUAUGAAGAAAAAAAGAAGAAGAAAAGAAGAAAAAAAUUUGAGAUAUAACAAUAAUAUUAUAAAGAGAGGCACUUAGCUGAUAUUUUAGCUUUGUGGUUGCUAUUAAAUCUUCAAUCAACCAUUGUCGUGUUAUGUGGGAUUUGGCUUGAGAAUGCUUCAGGCACCUAGUUGUGGAAGAUAAAAGGAAAAUUGCAACAACAAGUUUUAACAAUUCUAAUAUAUUCUUAAAAAAAUUACAAUUAACAAUUAGCAAACAUAAUCAAAUAUUGAUCAAAUUCCAUCAAAAUUUCAAUGGAAUUAUAUAAAAAACAUAAAUUAUUUCUAGAGAUUCUUUAAAGAAUCAUAAAAAAAUAACAUAGAAAUUCAAAAAAUAUACUAAAAUAGAAAACUUAAUUAAAUACUAAUCAAAAUCUAAUCAAAUUCUAAUCAAAUCCUAAUAGAAUCCUAACCAAAUCCUAAAUAAAUCCUAGUUAAAUCCUAAAAAAUCCUAACCAAAUUCUAAUAAAAUCCUAAACAAACCUUAACCAAAUCCGAAUCAAAUUCUAAAUAAAUUCUUACCAAAUUCUAAUCAAAUCCUAAAUAAAUCCUAAUCAAAUUCUAAACAUUGUAAUCAAAUUCUAAAUAAACCUUAGUCAAAUUUUAAAUAAAUACUAAUCAAAUAUUAAUCAAUCUUAAAUAAACCUUAAUAAAACUUUAGUCAAAUUCUAAACAAAUCCUAAAUAAAUCCUAAGCAAAUCCUAAAUAAAUCUUAGUCAAAUCCUAAUAAAUC
rnacentral:lncRNA from 1 species